rnacentral:lncRNA from 1 species
CGUGAGCCACCAUGCCUGGCCACAUCUACUUUUUUAAAUGUGUCAUUAUAUUUGUGAUAUUGUCAUGAUGUUUUCUACUUAUAUUUUAUUCAAAAAUUUUAUACUUUAAGUUCUUACCUUUAGGUCUUUGAUGCAUUUUUAUUUGUUUAUGGUGUAGGGUAAAUGUUCAACUUCAUCCUUUUGCUUGUGGAUAUCCAUUUUUUCCCAGCACCAAUUGUUAUAAAGACAGUCCUUUGCCCAUUGAACGGUCUUUGUAUCCCCAUCAAAAAUUAUUUGACCAUAUGCUGCUUUAUACUGUUCCAGUGUCCAUAUGUGUGUCUCUUUGCCAGUACCACACUAUUUUGGAACUUUGUAUUAAGCUUUGGAAUGAAUAAGUGUACAUUUUGUAACACUGGACUUCUUUUUCAAGAUAAUUUUGACUCAUUGGGGUCCCUUGAGAUUCCAUAUGAAAUUUAGGUAGGAUUUUUCUAUUUCUGCAAAAUAGAAUUUUUUGCUUUUUUUGUUACUCCCGACGUAUUUUAUUCUUUUCAGUGCUAUUGUAAAUGUGCUUGUUUGCUUAGUUUUGUUUUCUAAUUAUUCAUCAUUACUGUAUAGAAACACAAGUGAUAUUUGCAUGUUAAUUUUGUAUGCUGCUACUAUGCUGAAUUUAUUAGUUGUAAUACUUUUUGUGUGGAUCUGUGAAAUCUCUAGAGCUUUCCACAUAAAAUUAUAUUAUCUGUAGGCUAGAGUAAUUUUACCUCUACAUUUCCAAUUUGGAUAGUUUGUUUCUUUUUAAUUCUUAAUUUGACUAGAACUUCCAACACUAUGUGGAAUAGAAAUAGCAAAAGCAGACACCUUUGCCUUGUUCCUGAGCUUAGAGCAGAAGCUUUUUGUCUUUCACCCUGGAGUACAUUGUUUGAUGUGGUUUUUUAAUGUGUGGAUUUCACAAUGGUAGUAUUUUAGUUUUAAAAUUCCUACUUUUUUGAGUGUUUUCACCCUGAAAAGAUUUUGAAUUUCAUAAAAUACUUUUCUCUGCAUCCAUGAGGUGAUCAAUGUUUCUUUUAUUUUGUUAAUGUGUACACAUUGAUCAAUUUUUAUAUGUUAAAAAAUUCAUGUUUUAAGAUAUCCUUGCAUUCUAAGAAUAAAUUGCACUUGGUCGUGGUGAGAUCAUCUUUCUUUUUUUUUAAAUUUUAUUAUUAUUAUACUUUAAGUUAUAGGGUACAUGUGCACAAUGUGCAGGUUAGUUACAUAUGUAUACAUGUGCCAUGCUGGUGUGCUGCACCCAUUAAAUUGUCAUUUAGCAUUAGGUAUAUCUCCUAAAGCUAUCCCUCCCCGCUCCCCCCACCCCACAACAGUCCCCAGAGUGUGAUGUUCCCCUUCCUGUGUCCAUGUGUUCUCAUUGUUCAAUUCCCACCUAUGAGUGAGAAUAUGCAGUGUUUGGUUUUUUGUUCUUGCGAUAGUUUACUGAGAAUGAUGAUUUCCAAUUUCAUCCAUGUCCCUACAAAGGACAUGAACUCAUCAUUUUUUAUGGCUGCAUAGUAUUCCAUGGUGUAUAUGUGCCACAUUUUCUUAAUCCAGUCUAUCGUUGGACAUUUGGGUUGCUUCCAAGUCUUUGCUAUUGUGAAUAGUGCCGCAAUAAACAUACGUGUGCAUGUGUCUUUAUAGCAGCAUUAUUUAUAGUCCUUAGGGUAUACACCCAGUAAUGGGAUGGCUGGGUCAAAUGGUAUUUCUAGUUCUAGAUCCCGGAGGAAUCACCACACUGACUUCCACAAUGGUUGAACUAGUUUACAGUCCCACCAACAGUGUAAAAGUGUUCCUAUUUCUCCACAUCCUCUCCAGCACCUGUUGUUUCCUGACUUUUUAAUGAUUGCCAUUCUAACUGGUGUGAGAUGGUAUCUCAUUGUGGUUUUGAUUUGCAUUUCUCUGAUGGCCAGUGAUGGUGAGCAUUUUUUCAUGUGUUUUUUGGCUGCAUAAAUGUCUUCUUUUGAGAAGUGUCUGUUCAUGUCCUUCUCCCACUUUUUGAUGGGGUUGUUUGUUUUUUUCUUGUAAAUUUGUUUGAGUUCAUUGUAGAUUCUGGAUAUUAGCCCUCUGUCAGAUGAGUAGGUUGCAAAAAUUUUCUCCUAUUUUGUAGGUUGCCUGUUCACUCUGAUGUAGUUUCUUUUGCUAUGCAGAAGCGCUUUAGUUUAAUUAGAUCCUAUUUGUCAAUUUUGGCUUUUGUUGCCAUUGCUUUUGGUGUUUUAGACAUGAAGUCCUUGCCCAUGCCUAUGUCCUGAAUGGUAAUGCCUAGGUUUUCUUCUAGGGUUUUUAUAGUUUUAGGUCUAGCAGAGCCCUCAGAAAUAACACCACAUAUCUACAAUUAUCUGAUCUUUGAUAAACCUGAGAAAAACAAGCAAUGGGGAAAGGAUUCCCUAUUUAAUAAAUGGUGCUGGGAAAACUGGCUAGCCAUACGUAGAAAGCUGAAACUCGAUCCCUUCCUUACACCUUAUACAAAAAUUAAUUCAAGAUGGUGAGAUCAUCUUUCUAAUAUGCUGCUGAAUUUUAUUUGCUGGAAUUUUGUUGAGUUUUGCAUCUGUGUUCAUAAGGGAUAAUUAAUCUGUAGUUUUCUGUAGUGUCUUUUUCUGGCUUUGAUAUACGGUAAUGCUGAGAUUGUGGAAUGAGUUUGGAACUGAUCUCUCCUUUUCAAUUUUUUGGAAGAGUUUGAAAAAGAUUUUCAGUCUUUCAAAAUGUUUGGUAGAAUUAACUACUGAAGCCAUCAGGUCAAGGGCUUUUCUUUGUCAGCAGGUUUUUGAUUUUUGAUUUGAUUUCCUUAUAAGUUAUGGAUCAAUUCAAUUUUUCUAUUCUUGGUAAUCAAGUCUUGCUAGGUUUUUUAUACCUAGAAAUUUGUCCAUUUCAUCUAGAUUGUUCAUUUUGUUGUCACACAGUUGUUCACAGUACACUCUUUAAAACAUUUUAUUUCUUAGAAUCAGGCAGGCAGAUCAUGAGAUCAGGAAAUUGAGACCAUUCUGGCCAAUAUGGUGAAACCCUGUCUCUACUAAAAAUACAAAAAUCAGCUGGGCAUGGUGGUGCAUGCUUCUAAUCCCAGCUACUUGAGAGGCUGAGGCAGGAGAAUCGCUUGAACCUGGGAGGCGGAGGUUGCAGUGAGCUGAGAUCGGGCCACUGCACUCCGGCCUGGUGACAGAGCGAGACUCUGUCAAAAAAAAAAAAAAAAAAAGAAGAAUUAGUAGUAAUGUCCCCAUCUCAUUUCUCAUUCUACUAUUUUGAGUAUUCUGUAAUUUUUUUCAUAGUGUAGCUAGAAGUUUGUGAAUUUGUCAACAUUUUUGAAGAACCAAGAACCAACUUUUGGUUUUGUUGGUUUUCUGUUUUUCUGGUCUCUAUUUUCUUUAUCUCUACUAAGAUCUUCAUUAUUUUCUUCUUUCUGUUUAUUUCGUGCAUAGUUCAUUCUUUUUCUAAUUUGUUAGGUCAUAAAGUUAGGUUAUUGAUUUGAGACCCUUCGUCUUCUUCUUCUUCUUCUUCUUCUUUUUGUUUUGUUUUUUUGACAGAGUCUCACUCUGUUGCCGAGGCUGUAGUGAAGUGGUGCAAUCUCAGCUCACUGCAACCUCCACCCGCUGAGUUCAAGCGAUUCUCCUGCCUCAGCCUCCUGAGUAGCUUGGAUUACAGAUGCCCGCUACCAUGCCCGGCUAAUUUUUGUAUUUUUAGUAGAGACAAGGUUUCACCAUUUUGGCUAGGCUAGUUUCAAACUCCUGACCUCAGGUGAUCCACCUGCCUGGCCUCCCAAAGUGCUGGGAUUACAGGCAUGAGCCACCACGCCCAGCCAAGGCCCUUCUUUAAUGUGUUUAUAGCUAUAAAUUUCUGAUCUUCACACUGCUUUUGUGCAUCUCAUAACUUUUGGUAUGUUGUAUUUUCAUUUUCCAUUCUCUGUAUUUUUUAAUUUCCCUUGAGUUUUUUUCUUUUACUUAUUGGUUGUUUAAGAGUAUGUUAAAUUUUACAACUUUGUGAGUGUUUUAGUUUUCCUUCUGUUAUUGACUUGAUUUGUGACAUAACAUACAGUCCAUCCUGGAGAAUGUCCAUGUGUGAUCCAUGGACAUUGAGAAUAGUGUGUAUUCUUCUGUUGUUGGGUGGAGUAUCCUGUAUAUGUAUCUGUUAAAUUUAGUUGGUUUGUUGUAUUAUAUAAGCCAUUUAUUUCUAACUUAUCUUCUAUCUGGUGAUUCUGUUCAUUACAGAGAGUGGAGUAUUAUCAUCUCUAUUAUUUUAGAACUGUCGACUUCUCCAAUUCUGUCGACUUCUCUCUUCAAUUCUGUCGAUUUGUGCUUCAUAUAUUUUAGUGGUUUAUUAUUAGGUACAUGCAUGCUUAUAAUAUUUAUAUCUUCUUGCUAAAGGGACUUUUGUGAAUACACAGUGUCUUUGUAUUUUUAUGUAAGAUUUUUGAUUUUAAGUCUAUUUUGUCUGAUAUUAAUAUAGCCAACCCAAAUCUAUUUUGCUUACUGUUUGCACGAAAUAUCUGUUUUCUUCCUUUUACUUUCAGCCUAGUUGUAUCUUUGAAUCUAAUGUGAAUCUUGUAAAAACAAGAUAGUUAGAUCAUGUUUUAUAGUCUGUUCUGCUGAUUUCUGCCUUUUAAUUGGAUAGUUUAAUACAUUUACAUUUAAAAUAAUUACUUAAAAGUAGAGAGUUCUGUCCUUUUGCUAUUUGUUUUCUGUAUAUCUUACAUCUUCUAGUUUUGUAUUUUCUACAUUAUUUCUUCUUGUUUGGUUGAUUUUUUCUGGUGAAACAUUUACACUUUUUAUUUUCUUUUGUGUAUAUUCUAUGGCUUUUUUGUGAUUACGAUCAUGGGGAUGACAUUUAACACCUGAGUUUAUUUAUUUUAAUUGCUGCAUAGGACUAUAUUCAGUCACAUAUUUGUAACUAGUAUAAUUUUUAAAUCCAGUCUACUUUUGAUAGUAAUCAUUGGGAUAUUUUUUAUACUUUAUUUUUUUGGUAAGUAUCAAGUUUACAUAAAUAUUAAGUGGAAAGCACAGAGUUUCCAUGUAUCCUCUCCCUGCACCCAGCUUCUCCUCUGUUAUUAACACCUUACUUUGGUGUGGCAUAUUUUUACUGUUAAUGAACUAAUAUAGAAAAGUUAUUAUUAGCUGAAAUCUAAAGUUUGCAUUCAAAUUCAUGGUUUUUUUUAUUUUAAAAUCUAUGGAUUUUGACAAAUGCAUAAUGACAUGACAUGUAUCCACCAUUACUGCAUUAUGCAGAAUAGUUUUGCUGUCUUAAAAUAUAUGCUGUACCCCACCUAUUCAUCUCUCCCUUCUUCCCCCCAAACUUGGGGAUACCACAGAUCUUCUUACUGUCUCCUUGGUUUUGCCUUUUACAGAAUGUCAUAUACUUGGAAUCAUAUAGCAUGUAGCCUUUUCAGAUUUCCUUCUUUCCCAACCAUAUGCACUUAAGGUUCCUCAUAUCUUUUCAAGGCUUGACAGCUCAUUUCUUUUUAUCAGUGAAUAAUGUUCGUUGUAUAGUUGCACCCCAGUUAGUUUAUUCAUUUACCUAUUGAAGAAUAUCUUGGUUGGUUUCAUGUUUUGGCAAUUAUGUAUAAAACUCUUCUUAAUAGUAGGGUGAAGAGUUUUGUGUAGAUGAAAGUUUCCACCUCUUUUGGAUAAAGGCCACAGAGUGUGAUUGCUGGAUUGCACUUAAAUGUAUGUGUAGCUCUGUAAGAAACCGGCAAACUGUCUUCCAAACUGGUCAUAGCACUUUGCAUAUUCACCCGCGAUAAAUGAGAGUGCUUGUUACUCUAUAUCCUCACCAGCAUUUAGUGUAGUCAUUGUUUUGGAUUUUAGCCAUUCUAAUAUGUGUGUGGCAGUAUGCCAUUGUUAUUUUCAAUUUCCUAAUGACAUAUGAUGUUGAGCAUAUUUUCAUAUGCUUAUUUGCCAUGCUUAUAUGUUCUUUAGUAAGGUAUCUGGAUCUUUUGCAAUUUUAUAAUUGGGUUGUUCAUUUCUUAUUCUUGCGUUUUAAGAGUUCUUUAUUUCUUGUCGCAUAUUCUGGAUACCAGUCUUUUAUCAGUUAUGUGUUUUGCAAAUAUUUUCUUUUAUUCUGUGGUUUGCAUUUUUAUUCUUUUAACAGCAUCUUUGGCAGUGCAGAAAUGUUAUUUUUAAAAUAGUUCAACUUAGCAGAUUUUCCUUUCAUGGAUAAUAUUUUGGGUGUUGUAGAAAGGAGCAAAACCUGAGGUAAUUCAGAUUCUGAUCUUUGUUAUUUUCUAAAAGUUUUGUGGGUUUUCCUUUUAUAUUGAGCUAUGAUCCAUUUUGAGUAAUUUCUGUGAAAGUUGUUAGGUCUGGGUUUAGGAUUUUUUUUUUCUUUUCUCUUGCAUGUGGAUGUCUAGUUUUUCCAGUACUGUUUUUUGAAAAAUUAUUCUCUCUCAAUUGAAUUGCCUUUGCCAUUUCAUCAAAAAUAAGCUGACUAUAUUUGUGUGGGUCAAUUUCCGACCUUUCUCUUUUGUAUCGUUUAUCUGUUUCUCUAUUAUUUUUAACAGUACCAUGUUAUUUUGAUUACUGUAGCUUUAUAGUAGUUCUUACAGUUGGGUAGUGUCAUUCCAACUGUUCUUUUUGAAUAUUUUCUGGGCUAUUCUGGGUCUUUUGCCUUUUCAUAUAAACUUUAGGGUCAGUUUGUCAAUAUCCACAAACUAACUUUGUGGAAUUUUGAUUGGGACUGCAUUGAACAUGUAAAGUUGGGAGGUACUGACAUUUUAACAAAGUUGAAUGUUUCUUGAAUGUGAAUUUUCUCUCUAUUUAUUUAGAUCUUCUUUGAUGUUUUUAUUCACAGUUUUGAAGUGAAUAAAGUCCUAUAUUUAUAUUUAUUUUGUUAGAUUUGCACUUAAGUAUUUUAUUGUUAUUGGUACUAGCAUAAAUAUCAUUGUUUUAAAUUUCAGAUUCUAAUUACACUGCUAAUAUGUAGGACAAUAAUUGACAUUUACAUUUUCUUAUAAUUUGCAAAGUUGGUAUAAUUGCUCAUUAUAAUUGGUUAUUCUAAGAUUUUGUUUUGUGAUCCUUUCAGAUUUCUCCAUAGGCAAUUAUAUCAUCUGUGUAAAAAGACAGUUUUAUUUCUUCCUUCCUAAUCUAUGUACCUUUUCUAUUCUUGUCAUUGUAUUACCUGGGGCUUACAGUAUAAUGUUGUAUAGGAAUGGUGAGAGGAGACAUCUUUGCCUUGCUCCUGAUCUUAGCAGGAAGGCAUCUAGUGUUUCUACAUUUAGUAUGAGGUAAGAUGUAGGUUUUUUUUAAUAAACAUUCUUUUGAAAUUGAGGAAGUUUUUCCCUAUUUUUAGUUUGCAGAGUGGUUUUCUCAUGAAUAGAUUUUGAAUUUUGUCAAAUAAUUUUUCUGAUUAUAUUGAUAAGAUCAUAUUAUCUUUUUAUAUCUCUUAAUAUGAUGAACUAAUUUCUUUAAAAGACAGAGUCUUGCUAUGUUGUCUGCGCUUAUCUUGAACUCCUGGCCUUAAGUGAUCCUCUUUCCUUGGCCUCCUACUGCACUGGGAUUACCGGUAUGAGCCACCACACCCAGCCUAAUUUAUAUUCAAAUGUUGAACCAGAUUUGCAUGCCUGUAAUAAAUCUCACUGGGUUGUAGUGUAUAAUUCUUUUUAUACAUUUUUGGAUUUGAUUUCUUAAUAUUUGGGUGAGGAUUUUUGCAUCUUUGUUCACAGAGUAAUAGAAUAGAAUUAUAAUAAGCACUCUGAUAGAAAUCAGUUUCGUUCCUGCAACUAUCCCUAGAAAAAUACAAUAGUUGGCAGAAAAGGAAAAAAAUAGAUGGAAUAAAUUAUAAAUUAAGUGGAGAAGAGAAAAAUAAUCUGCAGAAGUAAAUUGUCAACCAGUUUGAAAUCAGGUAAAAUGUAGAUUCAUGAUUUCUACUCUUUCUGAAUAAUUGUACAAUUCUGUGCAAUAGGAGCUUCUGUCAGUGCAAAUAUGGAGUCACCUAUGGAAGAGCUUUGCUCAAACCAGCCCCCUGACAGCCAGUCCCUCAGGCCCAGAAGUCAUGAAUCGUUCCUCCAAUAAGUCAUUCAGUUGGCUGGCAGCAAACACUGUUAAGAUUCUGGAUGGCAGCUGCAUUUCAUAUUAGAUUUUAACAGAAACUCAUGAUGAAAAGUCUUUAAGACCUAAACGUCCAAGUAUAUUAUUGUAUAAUUUUGAGUAUUAGAAAAUCAGUAGGAUGUUCUUUCAGCAUUUCUGAAAUAACAGUGCAAAAAUAGCUCCAGCUUCAUAAGGCCAACCUUUGGUAUCUGUGUUCUGCAAAAUAGGGUAAGCAAGAUGCCACAAAAGCCAGGUUGUAUGUGUAAUUAUCUUCGCUACAACAACAGGACUAUCACACUUUAAGCAACCCUGUGGGUCUUUAAAAUAAAAAAAAAUGUAAGACGUAAAGAAAAACUUUCUUGAGAGAGAACAUUUUACAAAUCAGAGGAAAAUCUUGCAGAACUUUUACAUUUUAUAACAAAUAAAUUAUAUGCUCUAUUGUUUUCCUCUGAGUACAUCAUCAGUACUUCCAUAAUACUUUUAAUGUUUAACUUGAGAAAACCAGUAGCUUAAAAAAACACAAAGGCACAGUAAAAAUCCUAGAUAUGUAGAAUUAAUAUACAUAUAUUUUUAGAUGGAGUCUCGCUCUGUCGCCAGGCUGCAAUGCAGUGGCGCUCUCUCGGCUCACUGCACCCUCUGCCUCCCAGGAUCAAGUGAUUCUCCUGCCUCAGCCUCCCAAGUAGCUGGGACUACAGGCGCAUGCCACCACACCCAGCUAAUUUUGUAUUUUUAGUAGAGACAGGGUUUCACCAUGUUGGCUAGGAAGGUCUCAAUUUUGACCUCAUGAUCCGCCCACCUCAGCCUCCCAAAGUGCUGGGAUUACAGGCAUGAGCCACUGUACCCAACCAGAAUUAAUUUUCAUAAGCUGAUAAAGAAAUAACACACCAGUGUCUUCUCAGGGAAAAGCUUUUAAGCAAAGCAAUCAUUUCUGGUAGGGAUUAUAGAAGAGGGAGUUAUCAUGAUGAAAUGGUGGAACUAAUCCAGGACAUUCCAGAUUUUGAUUAUUGACAAAAGAAUUUAAUCAGUUGCCCAGGAAUACUACUUGGAAAUCCAACUUGAAUUAUUAUUCUUAGAAACAUUUCUGAAACUUUCCCUUUGGAAACAAGUUUUUAUCUUAAGAUAUACCAGACAAUAGAAGAAAAAAAUGAAACAGCAGGCAGAGGAAGAUGAAUCUUGCUUAGGCAGGGACUGAGAGGAAAUUAGUGCCCGUGGACCACAUCUCUGAGUCCACUGUGUGACAGCUUUCUCCAGGACCACAUGUGCUCCACUGAACAAGAAGAGUCCACCUUCACCUUAUUCCCUGCCAAUGUCAAAAUUAAAAUGAAACAGCCUAAUAUGAGAAUCAGAGUAUAUAACAAAACUUCCGUUACAUUUAAAGCAUGCAAAGUAUUUAAUUGUAAAUUCAAACAGUGGAAAAACAAAUUUGCUUGCCUCCUGACUAAAACAUUAUUCUUUUAUGAGAACAUAGUCUGUGAUUGCUAAUCUCAUCACCAGGGAUAACCAGUUUAGCAUGGCAUAGAACCACCUCUGUGCAGAGGUAAAUAUGCAUUUAUUUUUAUAAAACAAAGAUUAUACUCUGUACUUUUAUACCACACUUUUAAAAUACCUGUUGUUAUUGUGAUCAUUUUAUAAUUAUUUGAAAGAACCUCAAUGGCUAUACAUUAAAUCAAAAUAACAUUUCAUAAUUUCACAAUUUUCCUACUGGACACUGAGUUUGCUUUCAUGGAAGUUCAUAUUUGUAUGAUAAUUUGAGGGAAGUUUCUCUGCCUCACUAGAUUAAAAACUUUGUGUUUAAUGUUUGUUCACUGUUGUACUCUUAUUUCAUAGGAGUACCUGAAACAUAUCAGGUAGACUGCAGCAUCUGUUGAAUGAAGGAAUCUCUCCUUCAAAUCUUGGCUAAAAUCAGCCUUAUCUACAAAAGUUUCUGACCCUCACUUUAAUUAUAAACCUCUUUCUCUUCUAUAAUUUGCUUCUCUAGCUGUUUUUUGGGACUCCCUGGCAGGGAAAAUACAUAUAGCAAUGCUUUCUACACUAUUUAAAACCACCAGAGAUCAGGCACACUACCCCUGAUGAGGCUUGUGCCACUAGAAAGGAAAGGCAGGUUUGUGAGAUUGAUCUCUCUCAAAAUAUUUGUUUUCAAUCCCCAUAUUAUCAAAUAUGCACCCAAAGUGGAAACGAGGACUGGAAAGAAUAAAUACAUCAAAAAUAUAACCAGACCGUGCAUGGCAGGUCAUGCCUGUAAUCGCAGCAGUUUGGGAGGACAAGGCUGGAGAAUUGCUGCCCAGGAGAUGUGAGACAACACCUCUAAUAAUAAUUAUUAUUAUAAUUAAAGUUAAAAAAGAAACAUCUCUCCUCAAAAGAUAAGUAGAUAGAUAGGUAUAUAGAUAGGAGCCAGGCACAGUGGCUCACGCCUGUAAUAGCAGCAGUUUGGGUAGUCGAGGCAGGAGGAUUGCUUGAGUGCAGGAGUUCGAGAUCAGGCUGGGCAACAUGGCAGAACCCAGAACCCUGUCUGUACAUACAUACACAUAAAAAAUAAAAAUAAAAUAAACAUAACAAUAACAAAGAAACAAUAACAAACAAUAAUAGAACAAUAAACAACCAAAUAAGUGGGAAUGAACUAAGGUAAAUAGGCAAUUAAGAUCAUAAUUGUUGUCUCUCUCUCUCUCUCUGUCCCUUUCUCUCUCUCUCUCUCUCUCGAUCUUUGUGUGUCACACUGUCACACCCAGGCUGUAGUGCAGAUGUGCAAUCAUGGCUCACUGCUGAUCGCACAAGCUGCACUCCAACCAGGGUGUGACAGAGUGAGAAGACCUAGCCCUCACCCCCCAACAAAAAAAUCUAAAACAUUAACUUCAGUGUGCAGGAAGGAGUGUAAAAAACUUAAAACAGAGAGAGAGAGCAAAGAACAAAGGAAAAAAGCAGCAACCCCCUCUAAGUAUUGUGGAAGCAAACUGAAAAUUGUCCGAGUAGUCCCAGCUACUCGGAAGGCUGAGAUGGGAAGACCACCCAGGCAAGACCAGGGAGAUCGAGGCCACAGUGAAUCACGAUCACAUGUCUCUGUUGGACCUGAGCAGUACUGCCGGUGGUGAGAACCGUCUGGUCGACCUUAGAUGUAGCAAGCUAGCAGCUAGGUCCAGUACCCACAGCCGACACCUGUCUCAAAAUAAAUAAACAAAAAAACACAACAGUAAAUAUUUAACAAUAACAAAGAAAUAAUAACAAACAAUAAUAAGACCAAUAAAUAAGUGGGAGUGAACAAAGGUAAAAGAUAAUUAUCACAAUUAAAAUCUUCUCUCUUUCUCUCACACUCUGGCUGGAGUGUGACAAAAAGAAAAAAUCUGAAAGGUAAACUUCAGCAUGCAAAAAGGAGCAUAGGAAAAUAGAGAAGAACGUAAAACCUAAAACAAUAGCAAGUCACUCUAAGUACUGUGGAAACAAACUGAAAGUUGGAUUAGAAGAGAAAAAAAAAGAGGAAGUUGAGACCAGCCUGGGCAACAUGGCAGAACCUCUAACCCUGUCUUUACACAUACUUCCCCAUCAAACAUUUAAAAAUACAAAAAUUAGCCUGGUGUAGUGGGACAUGCCUGUAGUCCUAGCUGCUCAGGAGGCUGAGGCAGAAGAACCACUUGAACCCAUUAGGCAGAGGUUGUGGUGAGCCAAGAUCACACCAUUGCUCACUCUAGCCUGGCCGAUGGAGCAAGACUCUGUCUCAAGACAUGAAAAUAAUAAUAAUAAAAAAAGUAGAAGUAAAAAAUACAAAAGUCAACUGGUGUGGUGGCUUGUGUCUGUAGUCUCAGGUACUGGGGAAAGGGGAGGCAUUGGAGGCGUGAGGAUUACUCAAGUCCAAAGGGUUGAGGCUGCAGUCAUUCUGGGUGACAGAGUGAGACCCUUUCUCCAAACAAACAAACAACAUAACAAUAACAAAAAUAUAAUAAACAAUAAUAGAACAAUAAACAGCCAAAUAAGUGGGAGUAAACAAAGUUAAAGGUAAUUAAUAUCACACUUAAGAUCUCUCUCUCUAUAUAUAUUUGUCAAACCCAGUAUGUAAUGUGUCAAAAAAACUCUAAAAGGUUAGCUUCAUCGCGCAGGAAGGGGCGUAGGAAAAUAGAGUAAAGAACAAAGGAGGAAAACAACAGCAAGUCACUGUAAGUACUGUGAAAAUAAACUGAAAGUAGGGCUAGAAAAAAAACAGAGAAUGUCCGAGUAGUCUGAUGGAAUUGGGAGUCUGAGAUGAGAAGGCCACCCAGGUGAGACCAGGGAGAUUGAGGUCACAAUGAAUCACGAUUGCAUCUCUCUGCUGGACCUUAAUGGUACUGUAAUGGACAAGAGCCAUGUAGCUCUUAGAUGUGGCAAAGUGAGAGCCUUCUGUUCGUCCUUAGACUUGGCAAGCUGCUGGCUAAGUCCAGUGCUUAUGGCCGAUAUUCGUCUCAAAAUAAAUAAACAAAAAAUACAAGAGUGAAUUCUUAACAAUAACAAAGAAAUAAUAACAAUAUGAAAGAUCAAUAAAUAAGUGGGAAUGAAGGUAAAAGGUAAUACCACAAUUAAGACCUUCUCUCUCUCUCUUUCUUUCUCUCUAUUUGUCACACCUAGGCUUGAGUGUGAUUAAAAAAAAAAAAUUAAAAGGUAAACUUCACCGUGCAGGAAGAAGCAUAGGAAAAGAGAGAGAGAAAAGAACAAAGAAAAAAAAGAAUAGCAAGUCUCUCCAAGUACUAUGGAAACAAACAGAAAGUGGAAUUAGGAAAAAAGAGAGGAAGAAGGUCUGAGUAGUCCAAGGGACACGGGAGGCCAGUUGGGAAGACCGCCCGGGCGAGACCAGGAAGAUCAAGGCCACAGUGAAUCACGAUCCCAUCCCUCUGCUCAACCUGAAUUGUACUGCUGCUGGCGAGAGAGAUCUGGUCGACCUUAGACAUGGCAAGGCGAGAGGUGAGGUCCAUCAGGUCGACCUUAGUCCAACGCUCACAGCCGACAUCUCUCUCAAAAUAAAUAAACAAAUCCAACAGUAAAUAUUUAACAAUGACAAAAAAAUUAAAGAACAAUACAUAAACAGGUUGCAGUUAACAAAAGUAAAAAGUAAUUAAUAUCACAAUUAAGAUCUUCUCCCCUGUCUCUCUGUUUGUCACACCCAGGCUGGAGUGUGUGACAAAAUAAAAAAUCUAAAAGAUCAACUUUAUUGUGCAGGAAGGAAUGUAGGAAAAUAGAGAAAAGAACAAAGAAGAAAAACAAAAGCAAAUCACUCUAAGUACUGUUACUGUGGAAACAAACUAAAAGUGGGUUAAAAAAAAAAAAAAACAGAGGCUGGGCGUGGUGGCUCAUGCCUGUAAUCCCAGCACUUUGGGAGGUCAAGGCAGGCAGAUCACGAGGUCAAGAAAUCAAGGCCAUCCUGGCCAACAUGGUGAAAUCCCGUCUCUACUAAAAAUACAAAAAUUAGCUGGGCUUGGUGGCGUAUGCCUGUAGUCCUAGCUACUCAGGAGGCUGAGGAAGGAGAAUCAUUUAAACCCAGGAGGUGGAGGUUGCAGUGAGCCAAUAUCAGCCACUGCACUCCAGCCUGGCAACAGAGUGAGACUCCAUCAAGAUCAACAACAACAAGAACAGCAAAAAACAGAUGAAGAAGGUCUGAGUAGUCUCAGGUACACGGGGGGCCCCCCAAGAUGGGAAGACCACCCGGGUAAAACCUGGGAGUCUGAGUUCUCAGUGAAUCGGGAAUGCAUCCCUCUGCUGGACCUGAAUGGUACUGUCACCAGCAAGAGGCAUCUGGUCAACCUUAGACGUGGCAAGCUGAUGGCUAAGUCCAACACUUGCAGCCGAAAUUGGUCUCAAAAUAAAUAGACAAAAAAUCCGAUGGUAAAUAUUGAACAAUAACGAAAAAUAAUAACAAUAUUAAGGACCAAUAAAUAAAUAAGUGGGAGUGAACAAAGGUAAAAGAUAAUUAUCACAAUGAAGAUUAUCACAAUGAAGAUUUUCUCCUCUCUCUCUCUUUCUCAAUUUGUCAUGCCAGGCUAGAGUGUGACAGAAAUCUAAAAGAUCAACUUCAUCGUGCAGGAAGGAGCAUAGAAAAAUAGAGAAAAGAAGAAAACAGCAAACCAUUCUGAGUACCGUGGAAACAAACUAAAAGUGGGCUUAGAAGGAAAACAGAGGAAGAAGGUCUGAGUAGUCCCAGGGACUCCAGAGGCCAAGAUGGGAAAGCCACCCAGGCGAGACAGGGGAGAUGGAAGCCACAGGGAAUCACUAUCACAUACCUCUGCUGGACCUGAAUGGUCCUGGCGCCAGCUAGAGCCAUCUGGUCGACCUUAGACAUGUCAAGGCAGGAGCCAUCUGAUCGACCUUAGACUUGGCAAGCUGGUGGCUAAGUCCAGUGCUCACUGCCGACAUCUGUCUCAAAAUAAACAAAAAGUCCAACAGUGAAUAUUUAACAAUAACAAAAAUAUAAUACCAAACAAUAUUAAAGACCAAUAAAUAAGUGGGAGUGAACAAAGGUAAAAGGUAACUAAUAUCACAAUUAAAAUAUUCUGCUAUCUCUCACUCUCUCUCUUCCCCUUUCCAUUUGUCACACCCAGGCUGGAAUGUGACAAAAAAAUAUAAAAGGUCAAUUUCAUCAUGCAGGAAUGAGUGUAGAAAAAGGGAGAAAAGAACAAAGAAGAAAAACAACAGCAAGUCUCUCUAAAACUUCAGUUAGUUUCACUGUAGAAAAAAAAAUUGAAAGUGGGGUUAGGAAAAAAAGGAAGGAGGAGGAUAAGUUCAGGUAGCCUGAGGGACUAGGGAAGCCAAGUGGGAAGACCACCUGGGUGACACUGGGAAGAUCGAGACCACAGUGAAUCAUGAUCACAUCCCUCUGCUGUACCUGAAUAGUACUUCCAAAGGCAGGAGCCAUCUGGUCAUCCUUAGUCAUGGCAAGGCGAGAGCCAUCUGGUUGACCUUAGAUAAGGUGAGAGCCAUCUGGUUGACCUUAGACUUGGCAAGCUGGCAGCUAAGUCCAAUCCUCUCAGCUGACAUCUUGGAGAGAGAGACAGACAGACAGACACAAACAGCGAGACAGGAGAAAAUCUUAAUUGUGUUAUUAAUUACUUUUCACCUUUGUUCACUCCAAACAGAAAAAAAUCCAACAGUGAAUAUUUAACAAUAACAAAGAUAUAACUACAAACAAUAUUAAAGACAAAUAAAUGGGAGUGAACAAAGGUAACAGGUAAUUAAUAUCACAAUUAAAUUCUUCUAAUCUCUUUCUAUCUCUCACUCUCGAUUUCUCUCUGUCAACUUCAUCAAGCAGGAAGGAGCACAGGAAAAUAUAAAGAGAAAACAAGAAAAAAAUAGAAAGUCACUCUAAGGACUGUGGAAACAAACUGAAAGUAAGGUUAGGAAAAACAAAGGAAGGAUGUCGAAAUAGUCUGAGGGAAUCAGGAGGCCGAGAUCAUCAGAAGGCCACCCUGUAGAGACCUGGAAGACGCCCAGGGCACAGUGAAUCACGAUCCGAUCCCUCUGCUGGACCUGAAUGGUACUGCUGCUGCUGAGAGCCAUCCUCUCGACCCUAGACUUACCAAGCUGGUGGCUAAAUACAACCCUCGUGGGAAGAUCUGUCUCAAAAGAAAAAAAUCCAACAGGGAAUAUUUAACAGUAACAAAGAACUAACCAUAACAAUAUUAAAGACAAAUAAAUAAGUGGGAGUGAACAAAGGUGAAAGGUCAAUUAUAUCACAAUUAAGAUCUUCUCUCUCUUUCUCCAUUUGUCACAACCAGGCUGGAUUGUUCCAAAAAAAAAAAAUCUAGAAGGUCAAAUUCAUCAUGCAGGAAGGAGGGUAAGAAUAUAUAUAGAGAGAAAAGAACAGAGAAGAAAUACAACAGCAACUCACUGUAAGUACUGUAGAAACAAACUGAAAGUUGGGUUAGAAAAAAAAAAAGAAGAAGGUCCAAGUAGUCUGAAGGACUCGGGAGGCCAAGAUGGGAAGUCCACCCAGAUGACACCGGGGAGAUCGAGGCUGCAGAGAAUAAGGAUCACAUCCCUCUGCUGGACCUGAAUGGUACUGAUGCUGUUGAGAGCCAUCUGGUCCUCAGACAUGGGAAGGCAAGAGCCAUCUGUUCGACCUUAGACAUGGCAAGAUGAAAGCUAAGUCCAGUGCUCGCUGCCAACACGUUUCUCAAAAUAAAUAAACAAAAAUUUCAACAGUAAAUAUUCAACAAUAACAAAGAAAUAAUAACAACUUUAAAGACCAAUAAGUAAAUAAGUGAAAGUGAACAAAGGUAAUAGGUGAUUAAUAUCACAAUUAAGAUCUUCUAUCUCUCUACUUCUCUGUUACUCUCUAGCUGUCUCUGUUUGUCAAACCCAUGCUAGAGUGUGAUUAAAAGAAAUAUAAAAGUCAACUGCUUCCUGCAGGAAGGAGCAUAGGGACAUAACGAGAGAAAAGAACAAAGGAAAAAAAAAAAAAACAGCAAGUCACUCUAUGUAUGUGGAAACAAACUGAAAGUGGGGUUAGAGAAAAAAAAGAAGGUCCGAGUAGUCUGAGGGACUCAAGUGGCUGAGAUGGGAACACCAGCCGGGUGAGACUGGAGAGAUCAAGGUUACAGUGAAUCACAAUUACCUCCCUCUGCUGGACCUGAACGGUAUUACCGGAGGCAAGAGCCAUCUGGUCGACCUUAGACAUGGCAAGGCAAAAGUCCUCUGGUUGACCUUGGUCCAAUGCUCGUGGCUGACAUCUCUCUCAAAAUAAGUAAGCAGAAAAUCCACCAGUGAAUAUUUAACAAUAAAAAAAGAUAACAUUGUGUCAAUAAAUAGGAGUGAACAAAGGUGAAAAGUAAUCGAUAACACAAUUAAGAUGUUCUCCUCUCUCUCUCUCUCUCUGUUUGUAACACCCAGACUGGAGUGGGUUCAUAUUUAUCAUGCUGGAAGGAGUGUAGAAAAAUAGAGGAAUGAAGAAGGAAAACAACGCAAGUCAUUCUAUGUACUGUGGAAACAAACUGACAGUGGGUUUAGAAAAAAACAACAGAGGAAGAAGGUCUGAGUAGUCCCAGGUAAUUGGGAAACCGAGAAGGGAAGACCACUCGGGUGAGACCAGGGAGAUCGAAGCCACAGUAAAUCACGAUCACAUCCCUCUGCUGGACCUGAACGGUACUGCCGCCUGCAAGAGCCAUCUGGUCGACCUUAGACAUGACAAGGCGAGAACCAUCUGGUCAACCUUAGACAUGGCACUCUUGUGGCUAAGUCCAACUCUAGUUGCUGAAAUACGUCUCAAAAAAACAAAAACAAUCCAACAGUAAAUGUUUUACAAAAACAAAAAAAUAAACAAUAUUAAAGAACAAUGUAUAAAUAAGUGGGAGUGAACCAAGGUAAAAGGUAAUUAAUAUCACCAUUAAGAUCUCCUCUCUUUCUCUUUUUCUCUCCAUUUGUGAUACCCAGGCUGGAGUGUGACAAAGGAAAAUCUAAAAGGUCAACUUCAUUUACAGGAAAGAGCAUAGGAAAACAGACAAAAGAACAAAGAAGAAAAACAAUAGCAAGUCACUCUAAGUACUGUGGAAAUAAACUAAAUGUCAGGUUAGGAAUAGAACAGUGAAAGAAGGUCCCAGUAGUCCCAAGGACUCGGGAGGCUGAGACACGAAGACUGCCCAGGUGAGACUACAGAGACUGAAGUUGCAGUGAAUCAUCACAUCCUGCUACUGGACUUGAACAGUACUGCUGCUGAUGAGAGCCAUCUGGGCGACCUUCGACAUGGCAAGGUGCGAGCCAUCUGAUCAGCCUUAGACAUGGCAAGGCAAGAGCCAUCUGGUCAACCUUAGAAGUGACAAGGGACAGCCACCUGGUCGACCUUUGACAUGGCAGGAUGACAGCCAUCUGGUCGACCUUAGAGAUGGGAAUGCAAGAGGCUUCAGGUCCACCUUCAACAUGGUAAGGCUAAAGCCAUCUUGUCCAGCUUAGACAUGGCAAGGCAAGAGCCAUAUGGUCCACCUUAGUCAUGGGAAGGCAAGAGCCAUCUUGUUGACCAUAGACAUGGUAAGGUGGGAGCCAUCAAGUCUGCCUCAGACAUAGCAAGGUGAGAACCAUCUGGUCAACCUCAGACAUGGGAAAGUGAGAGCCAUCUGAUCUACUUCAGACAUGGCAAGGCAAGAGGCAUCUUGACCUCAGACAUGGCAAGGAAAGAGCCAUCCGGUCGACUUUAGAGAUGGAAAUGCGAAAAGGGUUUGGGUCCACCUUAAGCAUGGAAAGGCAAGAGGCAUCUGGUCUAGUUUAGGCAUGGCAAGGCAAGAGACAUAUGGUUUACCUUAGUCAUGGGAAGGUGAGAGCCAUCUGGUCGACCAUAGACAUGGCAAGGUGGGAACCAUCAAGUCCACUUCAGACAUGGCAAGGUGAAAGCCAUCUUGGUCAACCUUAGACAUAGGAAGUUGAGAGCCACAUGGUCUACUUAAGGCAUGGCAAGGCAACAAGCAUCUGGUCAACCUCAAACAUGGCAAGGCAAGAGCCAUCUGGUCAACAUUAGAGAUGGUAAUGCAAGAGGCUUCAGAUCCAUCUUAGACAUGGUAAGGCAAGAAGCAUCUCAUCUAGCUUAGACAUGGCAAAUCAAGAGCCAUGUGGUCCACCUUAGUCAUGGGAAGGUGAGAGCCAUCUCGUUGACCAUAGACAGGGCAAGGUGGGAGCCAUCAAGUCCACCUCAGACAUGGCAAGGCGAGAGCCAUCUAGUCUGCCUCAGACAUGGCAAGGUGAGAGCCAUCUGGUUAACUUUAGACAUGGGAAGGAGAGCCAACUGGUUGGCCUCAGACAUGGAAAGGCUAGAGCCAUCCAGUCGACCUCAGAAAUGGGAAAGAGAGAGCCAUCUGGACAACCUUAAACAUGACAAAAUGAGAGCCAUCUGGUAGACUUUAGACAUAGAAUGGCAAGAGCCAUCUGGUCAAUCGUAGAUGUGGCAAGGUGAGAGCCAUCUGAUUGACCUAGACAUGGCAAGGUGAGAGACAUCUGGUCGACUGAAGACAAGGAAAAAUGAAAGCCAUCUGGUUGAGCUUAGACAUGGCAAGGCAAGAGUCAUCUGGCCGACCUUAGACAUGGAAAAAGAAGAGCCAUCUGUUUGACCUUAGACAUGGCAAGGCAAGAUCCAUCUGGUCAACCUUAGACAUGGCAAGGUGAGAGCCAUCUUGUUGAACUCACUCGAAGAGGAGACCCAUCUGGUCAACCUCAGACAUGGCAAGGUGAGAGCCAUCUGAUCGACCUUAGACAUGGCAAGGUGAGAGCCAUCUGGUCGACCUUAGAUAUGGCAAGGUGAGAAUCAUCUGGUCAAUCUUAAACAUGGCAAGGUGAGAUCCAACUUGACCUUAGAUAUGAUGAGGUGAGAACCAACUGUUCAAUCUUAGACAUGGCUAGGCAAGUGCCAUCUGGUCCACCUUAGAUAUGGCAAGGCGAGAGCCAUCUGGUCGACCUUAGACAUGGCAAGGUGAGAGCUGUCUGUUCAUCUUAGACAUGACAAGCUGGCAGCUAAAUGCGAUGCAUGCAGUCGACAUCCAUCUCAAAAUAAAUGAACCAACAGUAAAUAUAUAACAAUAACAAGGAAAUAAUAGUGAACAACCCUAAAGACCAAAUAAUUAAGUAGGAGUGUACAAUAAUAAAAGGUAAUUAAUGUCGCAAUUUAAAAAAACUCCUCUCUCUCUCUGUCUCUCUCUCUAUUUGUCACACACAGGGUGAAGUGUAACCAAAAAAAAAAAAAAAAUCCAAAGGUCAAACUCAGUUUGCAGGAAGGAGCAUAGGAGAAUAAAGGAUGGAACAAAGAAGAAAAAGAACAGCAAGUUACUCUGAGUAUUGUGGAAACAAACUGAAAUUAGAGUGAGAGAGAGAGAGAAAAAAAAAGAAGGUCCGAGCAAUCUCAGAUAUAUGAGAGGCCAAGAUGGGAAGAUCACUUGGGUAAGACUGGGAAGAUUGAGUCUGCAGUGAGUCACAGUCGCAUCAUUCUGCUGGAUUUGAAUGGUACUGCUUCUGGCCCAAGUUGUCUGGGCAACCUUAGACAUGGUAAGGCAAGAGCCAUCUGAUCAACAUUAGACAUGGCAAGGUGAAAGCCAUCUGGUCGACAGGGAUUCUAAUAGAAGACACUCUGGGCCGAUGGCAGACGUCUAAUAAUAGAGACAAAGGGUGAGCCCGGACAUUUUAAUGGGAGAGAAGCCUGGAUGACCCCAGGUAUUCUAAUGUUAGAAACACCUACGUGACUCCAGGCCUCCUAAUGGUGGAGACUCCCAGCCUACCCCAGGCAUUCUCUUGUGAGAGACUUCUGGCUGACCCCAGGCAGUCUAUUUAUGGAGACACCUGGGAGACCCCAGGCAUUCUGGGAGGAACUCCUGGCCAACCGCAGGGAGUCUAAUGAUAGAAACACCUGAACGACCACAGGAAUUCUAAUGGAAGAGACCCCUGGCAGGCCCCAGGCAGUCUAAUGAUAGAGGCACCUGGGUGGCCCCAGGUAUUCUAACCAGAGAGACUCCUGGCCAACCCCAGGCAGUCUAAUCAUAGAGACACCUGGGUGACCCCAGGCAUUCUAAUGAGAAAGACUCCCGUGUGACAGCAGGCAGUCUAAUGAUAGAGACACCUGGGUGACCCUAAGCAUUCUAAUAGGAAAGACUCCUGGCUGACCCCAGGCAGUCUAAUGAUACAGAUACCUGGGUGACCCCAGGCAUUCUAAUGUGAGAGAUGCCCUGCUACAUUCAGGAAGUCUAAUGAUAGAGACAAUUUGACGACCCCAGGCAUUCAAAUGGGAAGGCUCCCAGCCAACCCCAGGCAUUCUAAUGGCAGAGACUCCCCGCUGACCCUAGGCAUUCUAAUGAUAGAGACACCUGGGCCACCCCAGGUAUGGGAGAAACUCUCAGGUAAACUCAAGUAUUCUAACAGAGGUACUCCUGGCUGGCCCCAGGCAGUCUAAUGAUAGAGACAGCUGGGUGACCACGGGUGUUCUAAUGGGAGAGACUCCUGGUCAACCCCAGGCAGUCUAAUUAUUAAAGACACCUGGGCUACCCCAGACAUUCUAAUGGGAGCAACUCCCGACCAACCCCAGGCAGUCUAAUGAUAGAGACAUGUGGGCCAUCACAAGAAUUCUAAUGGAAGAGGUUCCUGGCUGACCCCAGGAGAGACACCAUUCUAAUGGGAGAGACUCUGGGCCGUUUCCAGGCUGUCUAAUGAUAGAGAAACCUGGGCGACUGCAGGCAUUUUAAUGAGAGCGGCUCCUGUCCGAACACCAGCAGUCUAAUGAUAGAGACACCUGGGCAACCCCAGACAUUCUAAUGGGAGAAAAUCCUGUGCAAUCCCAGGCAGUCUAAUUAUAAAGACACCUGGGCAACCCCAGGCAUUCUAAUGGGAGAGACCCCCGGCUGACACCAGGCAUUCUUAUGGGAAUGACUCCUGGCUGAGCCAGGCAGUCUAAAGAUAGAGACACCUGGGCAUACCAAAGCAUUCUAAUGGGAUAGACUAACGGCUGACCCAAGGUAGUCUAAUGAUAGAGACACCUGGAUGGCCCCAGGCAUACUAAUGGAAGAGACUCCUGGCUGACACCAAGCAUUCUAAUGAUAGAGACAACUGAUCAACCCUAGGCAUUGAAAUGGAAGAGACUCCUUCUCGAACCCAAGCAUUCUAAUAAUAGAGACAGCUAAUCAACUACAGGCAUUUUGGAGAAACUCCCGAUCAACCACAGACAUUCUAAUAAUAGAGACACCUGGGCGACCACAGGCAUUCCAAUGGGAGAGACUCCUGGCCAACACCAGGUGGUCUAAUUAUAGAGACACCUGGGUGACCCCACGCAUUCAAAUGGGAGAGACUCCUGGCCGACCCCAGGUGGUCUAAUUAUAAAAAAAAAAAAACCUAGGUGACCCCAGUCAUUCUAAUGGCAGAGACUAUCAGCUGAACCCAGGUAUUCUAAUGGGAGAGACUCCUGGCUGACCCUAGACUACCUUAGGUAGUCUAGUUAUAAACACACCUGGCCAAACCCAGGCAUUUUAAUGGGGAAGACUACUGGCCAAUCCAAAGCAUUCUAAUGAUAGAGACACCUAAGCGACUCCAGGCAUUUUAAUGGGAAAGACUCCCAGCCGACCUGAGACAUUCUAAUGGAAGAGAGCCUUGGUUGACCCCAGGCAAUCAAAGAAUAGUAACACCUGGGCGACUCCAGGCAUUCUAAUAGGAAAGAGUCCUAGAUGACACCAGGAAAUCUAAUUAUAAAAACACCAGGGUGACCCAAGGCAUUGUAAUGGGAGACACUCCUGGCAGAACCCAACAGUCUAACGAUUGAGACACCAGUGCAACUCAAAGCAUUGUAAUGGAAGAGACUCCCGCAGACACCAGACAGUCUAAUAAUAAAUUCACCUGGACGACCCAAGGCAUUCCAAUGGGAAAGACUCCCAGCCGACACCAAGUAGUCUAAUGAUAAAAACACAUGAGUGAUUCCCGGCAUUCUAAUGGGAGAAACUACCAGUUGAUCACAGGCUGUAUCAUGAUAGAGACACAUGCAUUUUAAUGGGAGACACUUCUGGCUGACCUGGGGCAGUCUAAUGAUGGAAACACCUGGGCAAAACCAGGUAUUAUAAUGGGAGAGACUGCUGGCUGAAGCCAGGCAUUGUAAUGAUAGAGACACCUGGGCAAUCCAGGCAUUCUAAUGGGACAGACCUUUGGCUGAUUCCAGGGUUUCUAAUAAUAGAGACACCUGGUCGACCCCUGGCUUUCUAAUGGGAGAGACUUGUGUGGACCGCCAGGCAGUCUAAUGAUAGAGACACCUCGGGGACCCCAGGAAAUCCAAUGGGAGAAACUUCCAGGUGACCCCAUUCAUUCUAAUGAUAGAGACACCUGGGCGACCAGAUGCAUUUUAAUGGAAGAGACUCCUGAACGACCUCAGGCAUUCUUAUGAUAGAGACAGUUGGGAGACCCUAGGCAUUCUAAUAAAUCGAACUCCUGGGCGAUCACAGGCAGUCUAAGAUUAGAGACACCUGGGUGACCACAGACAUUCUAAUGGGAGAGACUCCUUGCUGACCACAGGCAGUCUAAGGAUAGAAACACGUUAGCAUUCGCCAAGACACCUUGGCGAUCACAGGCAUUCUAAUGAAAGAGACUCAUGGCCGACCCUAGGCAGUCUAAUAAUAGACAUACUUGGGUGACCCCAAAAAUUCUAAUGUGAGAGACUCCCAGUUGACGUCAGGCAGUUUAAUAAAUGUGAGAGACUCCCGGCCGACCCCAGGUACUCUAAUGAUAGAAGAACCUGGGCCACAUCUGGCAUUCUAAUGGAAGAGACUCCUGGCCGACCCCAGGCGGUCUAAUGAUAAACCUGGGCGGCCCAAUGCAUUCUAAUGGGAAAAACUCUGGUCCAAACCCCAGCAUUUUAAUGGGAGAGACUCCUGGCUGACCCCAGGUGGUCUAACUAAAGAGACACCUGAGAGAACCCAGGCAUUCUAAUGGGAAAGACUACCGGCCAACCCCAGGCAUUCUAAUGAUAGAGACACCUUGUUGAGCCCAGUCUUUCUAAUGGAAGAGAAUCCCAUCCAACCCAAGACAGUCUAAUAAGACACCUGGGCGACCCCAGGCAUUCUAAAGAGACACCUAGGCGACUCCAGGCGAUAUUAUAGCAGAGACUCCCAGCCAACACCAGACAAUGAAAGAAACUCCCAGCGGAUGCCAGGCAGUCUAAUGAUAGAGACACCUGGGCAACCCCAGGCAUUGUAAUGGGAGAGACUCCGGUCCAAUCCCAGGCAUUCUAAUGAGAGAAACACCUGGCUGACCCCAGGCAGUCUAAUAAUAGAGAACCUGGGUGAACCCAGGAAUGCUACUGAAAGAGACUCCCGGCCAAUCUCAGGCAGUCUAAUGAUACAGACCUCUGUGCAACCCCAGGCAUUCUAAUAAUAAAGACUUCCAGCCGAACCCAGACAGUCUAAUGAUAGAGAGACCUUAACGUCCCCAGACAUUCUAACGAGAAGAACUUCUUGCUGACCACAGGCAGUCUAAUGAUAGAGACACCUGGACAACUCCGGGCAUUCUCAUGGGAGAGAAUCUUGGCCAAACCAAGGCAUUCUAAUUAUAGAGACACCUGGGUAAGCCCAGGCAUUCUAAUGGGAAAGACUCUUGGCCGAACCCAGGCAUUCUAAUGAGAGUCUCCUGGUUGACCCAAGGCAGUCUAAGGAUAGAAACGCCUGGGCGACUCCAGAAAUUCUUAUGGGAGAGACUCCUGGUUAAUCCCAGGCAGUCUAAUGAUACAGACACCUGGGCAACACGAGGAAUUCUAAUUAGAGAGACUCCUGGCCUAUCCAGACAGUCUAAUAACAAAGACACUUGGACAAACCCAGGUAUUCUAACGUGAGAGACUCACGGCCAACCCCAGGCAGUCUAAAUAUAGAAACACCUGGGAGACCCCUGGCAUUUUAAUGAAAAAGACUCCGGUCCGACCCCAGUCAGUCUAAUUAAAAAGACACCUGAGUGACCCCCGGCAUUCUAACAGGAAACACUCCUGGCUGACCCCAGGCUGUCAAAUUAUGGAGAUACAUUGUCUACCCCAGGCAUUUUGAUGGGAGAGAAUCCUGGCCAAACUCAAGCAUUUUAAUGGUAGAGACAACUGGGUGAACCCAGGCAUUGUAAGGGGAUAGGUUCUUGGCCGACACCAGGCAUUCUAAUGAUAGGAACAUCUUGUCAACCCCAGGCUUUCUAAUGGGAGAGACUCCCAUCCAAACCCAGGGAGUCUAAUGAUAGAGACACCUGGAAAGCAUUCAAAUGGAAGAGGUACCAGCUGACCCCAGGCAUUCUAAUGAUAGAGACACCUGAGCGACCAGUGGCAUUCUAAUGAUGGAGACAUUUGAGCGACCACAGGCUUUCUAAUGGGUGACACUCCUGGCUAAACCCAGUGUGUCUAAUGAUAGAGACACCUGGGAGACCCCAAACAUUCUAAUGGGAAGGCUGCCAGCCUAACCCAGGCAUUUUAAUGACAGAGACACCUGGUCGACCCCAGGCUUUCCAAUGGGAGAGACUUUCAUACAAACCAGGCAGUCUAAUAAUAGAGAAACCUGGUUGGUCCCAGACAUUACAAAGGGAGAGACUCCUGGCUGACCCCAGACAGUCUAAUGAUAGAGACAUCUGGUGACACCACACAUUCAAAUGAGAGAGACUCCCCACUGAGCCAAGGCAGUCUAAUGAUAGAGACACCUGGGCAAUCCCAGGUGUUCUAAUGGGAGAGACUCCCGACCGACCCCAGGCGUUCUAAUGAGAGAGACUUCUAGCUGACCACUGGCAGACUAAUGAUAAAGACACUGGGGUGAACCUAGCCAUUCUAACGGGAGAGACUCCCAGCUGACACCAGGCAGUCUAAUGAUAGAGACACUUGGGCGACAACAGGCAUUCUAAUGUGAAAGACUCCUGGCUGACUCAAAGCUGUCUAAUUAUAGAGACAGCUGCAUGAACCCAGGCAUUCGAGAGAAAGAUACCCCUGGCCGACCCCAGGCAGUCUCAUCAUAUAAAAACCUGGGCAAUUCCAGACAUUCUAAUGGGAGAGACUCUCGGCCAACACAAGGCAUUCUAAUGGGAGAGAUUCCUUGCAGACAGCAAGCAAUCUAACAAUAGGGACACCUGGGCAACUGAAGGCAUUGAAAUGAGAGAGACUCCUGGUCAACCCCAGGUAAUCUAAUGAAAGUAAAAACUGGGCGACCCAAGGCAUUCUAACGAAAGAUACUUUCAGCCAACACCAGGUGGCCUAGUGACAGAAACACGAGUGACCCCCAGAAUUUUAAUGGAAGAGACUCCUGGUUGAGCCCAGGCAGUCUAAUGAUAGAGACACCUGUGCAACCCUAUGCAUUCUAAUAAAAAAGAGUCACCACCGACCCCAGGAUUUCUACUGAUAGAGACCCCUGGGCAACCCCAGACAUUUUAAUGGGAGAGAUUCCUGGCCGACCCCAGGAAAUCUAAUAGGAGAAACUGCUGGCCUACCUAAGCAGUAUGAGCUUAGAGACACCUGGGCAUCCACAGGCAUUCCAAUGAGAGAGGAUUGCGCCAGCCCAAGGUAGUCUAAAAAUAGAGACAACUGGGUGACCUCAGGCAUUCUAAUGAAAGGGACCCCCUGCCAACUCCAGGUAGUCUAAUGAUAGAAACACCUGGGCGACCCCCGUCAUUCUAAUGGGAGAGACUCCUGGUCGACCCCAGACGGUCUAAUUAUAGAAACACCUGGGUGACCCCAGGCAUUCUAAUGAUAGAGACACAUGGGCGACUUCAGGCAUUCUAAUGGAAAAGACACCCUGCUUACCCCAGGCAUUCUAAUGAAACAGAUUCCUGGCUGAUAUUAGGCAGCCCUAUCAUAGAGGCAUCUAGGCUACCGCAGAAAUUCUAAUGGGAGAGACUACUAGGCGACUCCAGGCAGUCCAAUGAUACAGACACUUGGGUGACCCUAGGCAUUCUAAUGGCAGAGAACCCUGGCUGACCCCAGGCAGUACAAUAAUAGAGACCCCUGGACAACCCUAGGCAUUUCAAUGGGAAACACUCCCAGCUGUCCCUGAACAUUCUAAUGAUAGAGGAACCUUGGAGACCUCAGGCAUUCUAAUGAAAGAGACUCCUGGCUGACCCCAGGCAUUCUAAUGGGAGAAAUUGCUGGCCAACCUCAGGCCACCUAAUGAUAAAGACACCUGGGCGACCACAGGCAUUCUAAAGGGAGAGACUACCGGUCGACCACAGGCUGUCUGAUGAUAGAGACACCUGCGUGAGCCCAGGCAUUCUAAUAAUAGAGACGCGUUGGUGACCCUCAUCAUUUUAAUAAGAGAGAUUCCUGGGUGAACCCAGGCAUUGUCUUAAGAGAGACUCCUGACUGAAUUCAGGCAGCCUAAUUAUAGAGACACCUGGGUGAACCGAAGCAUUCUAAGGGAAGAGAUCCUUGACCAACAGCAGGCAGUCUUAUGAUAGAGACACCUGGGUGACCACAGGCCUUAUUAUGGGAGAGACUUUUUGCCGAACUUAGGCAGUCUAGUGAUAGAGACAGCUGGGCCACACUAGGCAUUCUUAUGGCAGAGACCCCUGACCAACCCCAGACAUUGUAAUUAUAGAGCAACAUGUUUGACCCCAGGCAUUUUAAUGGGAGAGACUCUCGGUCAACCCCAGGGAUUUUUAUGGGAGAGACUACUGGCCAACACAAGGUAGUCUAAUGAAAAAGACACCUGGGCAACCCCAUGCAUUCCAGUGGGAGAGACUCCUGGCCCAACCAAGUUAGUCUAAUAGGGACACCUGGGUAACCACAGGAAUUCUAAUGGGAGAGACCCCUAACCGACCUCAGGCAUUCUAAUGAUAGAAACACCUGGGCAACCACAGGCAUUCUAAUGGGGGAGACUCCCGGCCAACUUCAGCCAUUCUAAUGGGAGAGACUCCUGGCCGAACCCAAGCAGUCUAAUGAUAAAGACACAUGGGUGACCACAGGCAUUCUAACAGGAAAGACUCCAGGUAGACCCCAGGCUGUCUAAAGAUAGAGACACCUGGGCAACCACAGACAUUCUAAUGGGAGAUACUGCCAGCUGACCCCAGUCAUUCUAAUAAGACAGACACCUGGCUGACCCUGGGCAGUCUAAUGAUAAAGACAUCUGGACGACCCCAGGCAUUCUAAAGGGAGAAACUACUGGCCGACUGCAGGCUGUCUAAUGAUAGAGACAGCUCCUCGAGCUCAGGUAUUCAUGGGAGAGAUUCCCAACUGACAUUAGAAUGGCAGGCAUUCUAAUGAUAGAGACACCUGGGCGACCACAGGUAUUGUAAUGGGAGAGGUUCCCCAUCGUCCACACUCAUUGUAAUGAUGGAGGCACCUGAACGAUCUCAGGUAUUGUCAUGAUAGAGACACCUGUGCGACCCCAGGCACUCAAAUGGGAGAGACUCCCAGCAGACACCAGGCAGUCUAAUGAGAGAGAUUCCUGGCUGAACCCAGGCAGUCAAAUGAUAAAGACAUCUGGGCAAAACCAGGCAUUCUAAAGGGAGAGACUCCUGGCUAACCCCAGGCAGUCUAACAGUAGACACCUGGGCGACCUCAGUCAUUCUAAUGGGAGAGGCUCAGCCCACCCCAGUGAUUCUAAUGGGAGAGACUUGUCUGAUCCCAGGCAGUUUAAGGUUAGAGACUCCUGAGCAACACCCAGGCAUUCUAAUAUGAGAGACUCCCGGCUGACAUAAGGAAGUCUAAAGAUAGAGACACCUGAGCAACCAGAGGCAUUCUAAUGGGAGAGACUCUCAUGCGAUCCCAGGCAGUCUUAUGAUAGAGACACCUAGGCAAUCGCAGGCAUUUUAAUGGGAGAGACUCCCGGUCAUCCAGAGGCAUUGUAAUGAUGGAGACAUCUGGAAGAUGGCAAGCAUUGUAAUGAUAGGGACACCUGUGUGACCCCAGGCACACAAAUGGGAGAAACUCCCAGCCAACACCAGGCAUUCUAAUAAGAGAGAUUCCUGGCUGACCCCAGGUGGUCAAAUGAUAAAGACACGUAAGCGAAACCAGGCAUUCUAAUGAGAGAGACUCCUGGCUAACCCCAGGCAGUCUAAUAAUAGAGACACGUGGGCAACCCCAGUCAUUCUAAUGGGAGAGACUCCCAGCCACCCUCAGUGAUUCUAAUGGAAGAGACUCUUGUCUGACCCUAGGCAGGUGAGAUUCCUGGGCGACUCCAGGCAUUCUAAUAAGACAAAUUCCCAGCCCAAGCAAGACAGUCUAAGGAUACACAGCUGAGCAACAUCAGGCAUUUUAAUGGGAGAGACUCCUGGCUGAAUCCAGACAGUCUAAUUAUACAGACUCCUGGGUGACUGCAGGCAUUCUAAUGAAAGAGACUCCCAGCUGAACCCAGGCAGUGUGAUUAUAGAGACACUUAGGUGACCCCAGACAUUCUAAUGGGAGAGACUCCUGGAUGACCCCAUUCUAAUGAUAGAGACACCUGUGCGACCCCAGGCUGUCUAAUGAUAGAGACAGCUGGGGAACCUGAGGCAUUCUUAUGGGAGAGGCCCAGGGCCAACCCCAGGUAUUCUAAUGAUAGAGACACUGGGCGACACUAGACAUUUUAAUGAGAGAGACAACCAACCAGCCCAAGGCAGUCUAGUGAUACAAACACCUGGUCGACCCCAGGCAUUCUACUGAAAGAAACUCCUGGCCAAACCCUGGCAUUCUAAUGAUAGAGACAAGUGAGCAUUUUAGUAAUAGAGACACCUGGGCUACAACAGGCAUUUUUUUAUGUGAGAGACUCCUGGCAACCCCAGGCAUUCUAAUGGAGAGACUCCUGGCUGACCACAGGCAGUCUAAUGAUAGAGACACUUGAGUGACCCCAGACAUUAUAAUGGAAGAGACUCCUGGCCGACAUCUUGCAGUCUAAUUUAAGUGACAACUGAGUGAACACAGGCAUUCUAAUGGGAGAGACUCCUGGCUGACCAAGGCAGUCUGUGGAUAGAGACACCUGGGUGACCCCAGGCAUUCUAAUGGGAAAGAUUUCUAGUUGACCACUGGCAGUCUAAUUAUAGAGACACAUGGGAGACCCCGGGCAUUCUAAUGAAAGAGACUCCUGGCCAACCCCAGGCAAUCUAAUGAUAGAGGCACCUGGGCGACCCAAGGCAUUCUAAUGGGAGAGACUCCUGGCCAACCUCAGUGAUUGUAAUGGAAAAGACUCUUGUCCGCCUUCAGGCUAUCUAAGGAUAAAAGCUCCUUGGUACCUCCAGGCAUUCUAAUGAGAGGGACUCCCAGCCAAAUCCAGGCAGUCUAAUGAUAGAGACACUUGGGUGACCCCAGGCAUUUUAAUAGGAGAGACUCCUGACCUGCCCCAGGCAGUUUAAUUUUACACACUUCUGGGAGACCCCAGACAUUGUAAUGAAAAAGACCCCCGGCCAACCCCAGGCAGUGUGAUGAUAGAGACAAUUGGGCUACUCCAGGCAUUCUAAUGGGAGAGGCUCCCAGACAACCUUAGGCAUUCUAAUGAUAGAGACACCUCUGUGACUCCAGACAGUCUAAUGGGAGUGACUGCAGUCAAACCCACACAUUCUAAUGGGGGAGACUCCCUGCCAACCUCAGGCAGUUUAAUGAUAGAGAUACCAGGGCGACCCCAGGCAUUGUAAUGAGAGCGACUGCUUGCUGACCUAAGGCAAUGUAAUGAUAGACACACCUGGGAGACCCCAGGCAUUCUAAUGGGAGAGAUUCCUAGUUGACCACAGUCAGUCUAAUUAUACAGACAGCAGGGCUACCCCAGGCAUUCUAAUGGGAUAGGCUCCUGGCCCACCCCAGGCAGUCUAAUGAUAGAGACAUAUAGGCGACCACAAGCAUUCUAAUGAAAGAGACUCCUGGCUGACCCCAGGCAGUCUAAUGAACAGAAGAAACUCCUGGCCAAACCCAGGCAGUCUAAUUAUGCAGAGUCCUGGGAGACCCCAGGCAUUCUAAUGAAAAAGACUCCCAGCCAAACCCAGGCAAAGUGAUAGAGAAACUUGGGUGACUGCAGGCUUUCUAAUGAGACAGACUCCUGGCUGAUCCGAGGCAUUCUAAUGUUAGAGACACUUGGGCGACCCCAGGCAUUAUAAUAUAAUGAUAGAGACACCUUUGCCACCCCAGGCAGUCUAAUGAUAGAGAUACAUUGGCGACCCCAGGGAUUCUAAUAAGAGAGACUCUUGCUUAAACACAGUGAUUCUAAUAGAAGAGACUUGUGUCCUACUCGAGGCAGUCUAAGGAUAGAGACUCCUGGGUGAUCCCAGCAUUCUAAUGGGAGAGACUCCUGGCAGAACCCAGGGAAUCUAAUGAUAGAGACACCAGGGUGACCCCAGACAUUCUAAUGGGUGAGAUUUUUGGCCGACAAUAGGCAGUUCAAUUAUACAGACUCCUGGGCAAUCCCCAGCAUUUUAAUGGGAGACACUACCCAUGGACCCCAGGCAGUCUAAUUAUAGAGACAAUUGAAUGACACCACACAUUCUAAUGGAAGACACUUCCGGAUGACCCAGACAUCCUAAUGAUAGAGACACUUGUGCAACCCCAGCCAGCCUAAUGAUAGAAACACCUGGGCGACUUUAGGCAUUCUUACGGGAGAGACCUCCAGCUGACCCCAGUAAUUCUGAUGAUAGAGACCCCUGGUUGACCCCUGUCAUUCUGAUGGGAGAAACUCCUGGCUGACACAAUGUAGUCUAAUGGUAGAAACAUCUUGGCGACCCCAGGCAUUCUAAUGGGAGAGACUCCUGACAAAACUUUGGCAUUCUAAUGAUAAAGACAAGUGGGCAACCCCAAGCAUUGUAAUGGUAAAGACACCUGGGUGAUCCCAGGAAUUCUAAUGUGAGAGACUCCUGGCCAACCCCAGGCAUUCUAAUAAAGAGACUUCUGUCUGACCACAGGCUGUCUAGUGAUAGAGAUACCAGGGUUACUCCAGGCAUUCUAAUGAAAGAGACUCCUGGCGGACCCCAGACAGUCUAUUUAAAGUGAUAACCUGGGCCACCACAGGCACUCUAAUGGAAGAGACUCCUGGCUGACCCCAGGCAUUCUAAUGGGAGAGAAUCCUGGCCGAACCCAGGCAGCCAAUGGAUAGAGACACCUGAGCAAACCCAGGCAUUCUAAUGAAAGAGACUCCCGGCCGACCCCAGGCAGUCUAAUAAUAGAGACACGUGAGUGGACACAGGCAUUCUAAUAGGAGAGAUUCCUGGCUGACCCAAGCAGUCUAAUUAUAGACACCUGGGUGACUCCAGGCUUUCUAAUAGGAGAAACCCCAGGCUGACCCUAAGCAGUCUGAUGAUAGAGGCUUCUUGGUGACGGCAAGCAUUCUAAUGUGAGAGACUCUCGGCCAACCCCAGGCAUUCUAAUGAUAGAGACAUUUGGGAGCCCCCAGUUAUUUUAAUGAUAGAGACACCUGAGCGACCCUAAGCAUUCUAAUGGGAGACAACAAGGCUGAAACCAGGCUUUCUAAUGGGGAGACACCUGGCUGAUCCCCAACAGUCUAAUCAUAAAAAACACCUGGAUGACUCCAGUCAUUUUAAUGGCAGAGACUCCCGGUCUACCCCAGGUGUUUUAAUGGGGAGACUUCUGACCGACCCCAGGCAGUCUAAUCAUAAAGACAGCUGGGCUAAGCCAGACAGUCUAAUGAAAGAGAUUGCCAGCCGAACACUGGCUGUUUAAUUAUAAAGACACUUGGGCAAUCCCAGGCGUUCCAAUGGAGGAGACUCCCAGCUGACCACAAGCAGUCUAAUGGUAUUGACACCUGGAAGUCCCAAGACAUUCUAAUGGAAGAGAUUCCCGUCCUACCACAGGCAUUCUAAUGAUAGAGAUACCUGGGCCACCCCAGGCAUUCUAAUGGGAGAGACUCCUGGCUGACAACAGACAGUCUAAUGAUAGAGAAACUUGGGCGAACCCAGUAUUCUGAUUGGAGAGAUUCUAGGCAGUCUGAUAGUGACAACUGGGCAACUACAGGCAUUCUAAUGGGAGAGGCUAAUGGCUGACCACAGGCAUUUUAAUUGGAGAGAAUCCUGACUGACCCAAGGAAAUUUAAGGAUAGAGACACCCGGGUGAUCCCAGACAUUCUAACGGGAGAGACUCCUGACCGACACCAGACAGUCUAAUUACAGAGACACUUGGGCUAUCCCAGGCAUUCUACUGAAAGUGACUCCCGUUUGACUCCAGGCAGUCUAAUGAUAGAAAUACCUGGUUGACUUCAGGCAUUGUAAUGGGAGAGACCCCCAUCCAAUCCCAGGCAGUCUAAUGAUAGAGACAGCUGGGCGACCCCAGGCGUUCUAAUAGAGUAUCGGCUAACCACAGGCAGUCUAAUGAGAGAGACAACGUGGAGACCUGAUUCAUUCUAAUCAAAGAGACUCCCAGCGAACCCCAGUCAUUCUAGUAAAAGAGACACUUGUCCGACUUCAGGCAGUCUAAGUAUAGAGACUGCGGGGCAACCCCACACAUUCUAAUGGGAGAGAGUCUGGGCCAAACCCAGGCAGUCUAAUUAUAGGACACGUGAGCGACCAAACUCAUUCUAAUGGGAGAAACUCCUGGCGGGCCCCAUGCCACCUAAUGAUAGAGACACUUGGACGACCCCAGGCAUUCUAAUGGGAAAGAUUCUUGGCCGACCCCAUGCUGCCUAAUGAUAGAGACAUCUGAGUGAACCCAGGCAUUCUAAUGAGAGAUGCUCCUUGCCUAUUCCAGGCAUUCUAAUGACAGAGACACCUGGGCAACCCCAGGCAUUGUAAUGAUACAGACAUGUGGGCGAUUUCAGGCAUUCUAAUGAAAGAGACUCCCUGCGGACCCAGGCAUUCUAAUGAGAGAGACUCUCAGCCGAUCUCAGGCAGUCUAAUGAUAGAGACACUGGAGUGACCAAAAGGAUUUUAAUAAAAGAGACUACCGGGCAACCACAGGCACAGACAAUCUAAUAAUAGAGACACCUGGGUGACUUUAGACAUUUCAGUGGGAGAGACUCCCAGCCGGCCCCGAGCAAUCUAAUGAUAGAGACACCUGGGAAACCUCAUGUAUUCUAAUGGGAGAAACUUUUGGCUGGCCCCAGACAUUCUAAUGGGAGAGACUGCUGGCCGACCCCAGGCAGUCUAAUGAUAGAGACACCUUGGCCACCCCCGUAUUCUAAAGGGAGAGACUAUUGACAGUCCCCAGAUUUUUUAAUGAUACAGACACCUGCGUGAGCCUAAGCAUUUUAAAAGGAGAGACUCUUGGUGACCACAGACAUUCUAAUAAUAGAGACACCUUGGCGAUUCCAGUCAUUCUAAUAGGAAAGACUCUCUUCUGAACCCAGGCAUUGUCUUGGGAGAUAAUCCUGGCUGAACCCAGACAGUCUAAUUAUAAAGACACCUGGGCAAGCCUAGGCAUUCUAAUGGGAGAUACCUCCCCAGUGUCCCCAGGCAGUCUAAUGAUAGAGACACCUUGACGACCACAGGCAUUAUUAUGAGAGACACACUUUGCCAAACUCAGGCAGUCUAAUGCUAGAGACAAUUGGGCGACAAGCAUUCUAGCGGGAAAAACUCCCGGCUGACCCCAGGCAUUGUAAUAAAAGAAAAGCCUGAGUGAUCCCAGCCAUUUUCAUGGGAGAGACACUUGUUCGACCCCAGGCAUUCUUAUGGGAGGGACUACUGGCCAACACCAGACAGUCUAAUAAAAAAGACAUGUAGAUGACCCCAUGCAUUCUUUUUUUUUCACACUUUAAAUACUUUAUUUAUAUAAAAACUCAUUUGUUUUUAAAAGCAUUAACAAGACAGAAAGAAAAGAGAAAAAGUAUGGAGCAGAACACAAGCCCGUUAGCAGUGUUCGGUGGGAAGGUGGGAUUUUUGGUUCUCUGGAAUUGAAUGUUUAGUGUUUUUAUAAACAAAAGAGGAAAAAAAAGUUAAAGGUCCCCAAAAGCCCAUGGCUAUCCUAUUACCCAUACCCCACUGAGAAGGGAGGGGGCAGGGAUAGCAUUAGGAGAUAUACCUAAUGCUAAAUGACGAGUUAAUGGGUGCAGCACACCAACAUGGCACAUGUAUACGUA